UAGAUAGUGGCGGACGGGUGAGUAACGCGUGGGUAACCUACCCAUAAAUCCGGGACAACCCUUGGAAACGAGGGCUAAUACCGGAUAAUCUUAGAUGUUGGCAUCAACGUUUAAGGAAAGGUGGCCUCUGAAGAUGCUACCGAUUAUGGAUGGACCCGCGUCUGAUUAGCUAGUUGGUGGGGUAAAGGCCUACCAAGGCGACGAUCAGUAGCCGGCCUGAGAGGGUGAACGGCCACACUGGGACUGAGACACGGCCCAGACUCCUACGGGAGGCAGCAGUGGGGAAUCUUCCGCAAUGGACGAAAGUCUGACGGAGCAACGCCGCGUGUAUGAUGAAGGUCUUCGGAUUGUAAAGUACUGUCUUUGGGGAAGAACGGUCUCUUUGAGAAUAUUGAGGGGACAUGACGGUACCCAAGGAGGAAGCCCCGGCUAACUACGUGCCAGCAGCCGCGGUAAUACGUAGGGGGCAAGCGUUGUCCGGAAUUAUUGGGCGUAAAGGGCGCGUAGGCGGGCGUUUAAGUCCGGUGUGAAAGAUCAGGGCUCAACCCUGAGAGUGCAUC
rnacentral:rRNA from 1 species